rnacentral:rRNA from 1 species
GAGUUUGAUCGUGGCUCAGAUUGAACGCUGGCGGCAGGCCUAACACAUGCAAGUCGAGCGGUAGAGAGAAGCUUGCUUCUCUUGAGAGCGGCGGACGGGUGAGUAAUGCCUAGGAAUCUGCCUGGUAGUGGGGGAUAACGCUCGGAAACGGACGCUAAUACCGCAUACGUCCUACGGGAGAAAGCAGGGGACCUUCGGGCCUUGCGCUAUCAGAUGAGCCUAGGUCGGAUUAGCUAGUUGGUGAGGUAAUGGCUCACCAAGGCGACGAUCCGUAACUGGUCUGAGAGGAUGAUCAGUCACACUGGAACUGAGACACGGUCCAGACUCCUACGGGAGGCAGCAGUGGGGAAUAUUGGACAAUGGGCGAAAGCCUGAUCCAGCCAUGCCGCGUGUGUGAAGAAGGUCUUCGGAUUGUAAAGCACUUUAAGUUGGGAGAAGGGCAGUAAAUUAAUACUUUGCUGUUUUGACGUUACCGACAGAUAAGCACCGGCUAACUCUGUGCCAGCAG